rnacentral:rRNA from 1 species
AGUUCGAUUCUGGCUCAGAUUGAACGCUGGCGGGAUGCUUUACACAUGCAAGUCGAACGGCAGCACGGACUUCGGUCUGGUGUGGCGAGUGGCGAACGGGUGAGUAAUGUAUCGGAACGUGCCUAGUAGCGGGGAUAACUACGCGAAAGCGGGGUUAAUACCGUACGCCCUUCGGGGAAAGCGGGGACCUUUCGGGCCUCGCACUAUUAGAGCGGCCGAUAUCGGAUUAGCUAGUUGGUGGGGUAACGGCUCACCAAGGCGACGAUCCGUAGCUGGUCGGAGAGGACGACCAGCCACACUGGGACUGAGACACGGCCUAGACUUACGGGAGGCAGCAGUGGGGAAUUUUGGACAAUGGGAAACCCUGUCCAGCCAUCCUGGCGUGUGCGAUGAAGGCCUUCGGGUUGUAAAAAAGUUAAUUUUGGCAGGAAAGAAACGGCACGGGAUAAUACCCCGUGCAACUGACGGUACCUGUAGUAAUACACCUGCCAACUACGCGCCAGCAGCCGCGGUAAUACGUAGGGUGCAAGCGUUAAUCGGAAUUACUGGGCGUAAAGCGUGCGCAGGCGGUUCGGAAAGAAAGAUGUAAAAUCCCAGAGCUUAACUUUUGAACGCAUUUUUAAUCAUUUCUGAGCUAGAGUGUGUCAGAGGGAGGUGGAAUUCCGCGUGUAGCAGGAAUGCGCAGAUAUGCGGAGGAACACCGAUGGCGAAGGCAGCCUCCUGGGAUAACACUGACGCUCAUGCACGAAAGGUGGGGGAGCAAACAGGAUUAGGAUACCCUGGUAGUCCACGCCCUAAACGAUGUCAACUAGCUGUUGGGGCCUUUCGGGCCUUGGUAGCGCAGCUAACGCGUGAAGUUGACCGCCUGGGGAGUACGGUCGUAAGAUUAAAACUCAAAGGAAUUGACGGGGACCCGCACAAGCGGUGGAUGAUGGGAUUAAUUCGAUGCAACGCGAAACCUUACCUACCCUUGACAUGUCUGGAAUCCCGAAGAGAUUUGGAUGUCGUAAGAGAACCGGAACACAGGUGCUGCAUGGCUGUCGUCAGCUCGUGUCGUGAGAUAAGUUGGGUUAAGUCCCGCAACGAGCGCAACCCUUGUCAUUAGUUGUUACGAAAGGGCACUCUUAAUGAGACUGCCGGUGACAAACCGGAGGAAGGUGGGGAUGACGUCAAGUCCUCAUGGCCCUGGCGGCAGGGCUUCACACGUCAUACAAUGGUCGGGACAGAGGGUCGCCAACCCGCGAGGGGGAGCCAAUCCCAGAAACCCGAUCGUAGUCCGGAUCGGGUAGUCUGCAACUCGACCGCGUGAAGUCGGAAUCGCUAGUAAUCGCGGAUCAGCAUGUCGCGGUGAAUACGUUCCCGGGUCUUGUACACACUGCCCGUCACACCAUGGGAGUGGGUUUUACCAGAAGUGCAGUUAGCCUAACCGUAAGGAGGGCGAUUACCAUUGGUAGGAUUCAUGACUGGGGUGAAGUCGUAACAAGGUAG